GGAACUUCCUGUGCUUUAGUUUGUGGCUGUUUCCCCUUGUCCUGUCGCUGUGCAUCGCUGAAAGGACAAGAGGAAAUGGUUUCAAACUAAAAGAGAGGAGAUUUAGAUAC
rnacentral:pre_miRNA from 1 species